UUCCACUUUGCCAGGACACGUGACAACACUGGGUCAUGCAGGUGACUCCAGGACAAGCUCUCUGUGGUAAAGCCAACAGGCAUCAUACCCUGGAUCAUCCGAAGUCUAACUUAGCACUCAGGCUGGUGUCUGACAUAUUCUUGAUUCACUGGAAAGAGGACUGAAUACUGUCAGUCCCAGCAGUCCUCUGAGGAUGGUUUUAGGAACUCCAUCCUGCAGGAGGGAGGGGCCUGAGAGUGUGUGACACCUGCUCAAAUAACAGUGUCAGAGCCAGGAUUUUGGAUUCUGAGGCCCGAGUUUUUGUUUCCUUGUUUUGUUUUCUCACCAGCGGCCGCCCACCUAGCCACCUGGCAGGCAUUUGGGGGAGAUUCGGAAAUGUUUCCUCUUUGCUGCCAUCCUGUCUAGUAUCUGUGAGACACCCAUCACUCACCAGCUGCAGACAUUCUCCAGAAAGCUUCAGAACACCCUCGCAAAGGUGUCUGUUAUUGCCCCCAUUUUACAGAUGUGGAAGCAGGUUGAAGGAGGCUUCCUAGUGACUGACUGAGCUGCUUCCAGAGGUAAGGGUCAGAGUGACUAGGAUACAGACUGGCGAGGGAUGACCUGCAAACUCAGCUUGGCAAGGGUUGGCAGGAGCAGAGGAGGGUCAGGAGAAGCUCCUAGAAGUCUCUUUCCCCAACUGGCCUUUGAGGGCAGAGUGGAGCUUUGGUAGACUCUUGAUAGGAAUUGUUCUCUGUGCAAGCAAGAACAGAGUUAGGUGGCGUGUAAGCAUUUUAGCCUGGCCUGGGUUGUCCCGAGUCCCUUCUGGUUUCAGUCUUGAACUUGUCCUUCCCUGCAAUGCAGAGAUGCGCAGGUGGGAGGGGAGGAUCUAUAGGCUGCUGUGUACAACUGGUCCUUAAGGUUUCUAUCAACCCCAUCCACAAUUUUUCCCACCAGCCUCCUGCCAGCACCAUGGAGUGAAGAACAGUCUGGCCCAGGAUGCUGAGUUGGAUCCACUUAGACGUUCUCCAGCCCCCCCACCCCCCAGUGCAUCCCUGUCCCUCCAUCCUUGCUGUACAGUGGUCUGCCUUCCUGCUCACAACCAGGCUCGGCAGGGAAAGCAGCCUACUCUUCCAGUUUCCCUGCUUCCUAAACAUUGCUGAUGCCCGAAGGCUGCUCUCAGCUCUUCUCCUGGGUCAGGAUCCUUCCAACAUGAAGAUCUAACUCUGAUGGUCUUGGAGACCACAGACCUUCCCUAGCCUGGUCUGGGAGGGGUGCCUGGCAAAUGCUUUCUGGGCUGACGUGAGUUAUUUGAGCACUCGAGUCGCUAGCAGAAGCACUGCGUUAGCGAGUCCCCUUUGUUUGAACAAACAAGAUUAGAAGCAUUGCACUGUUUGUUCUUCCUGGUGAGGCUCUAGCAAAUCCACACUUUGUGGGACUUCUGGCCUCUGGAGGGCCCCUCAGUGUUUUCUAAAAGCAUAGCCCGUGAGAGUUAAAAUUUGAAUAGAUAUCUCUCAAGAGCUGGUUCUGUAUUCCUGUAUUACCUUGAGACAAAUGUUUGUUAAAAUAUAUAUGUAUUCUAGUUGCUAGAAUACAUGUUGUAAAUACUUGUGUUUGAAAAUGUACACUUCCGGGAUGCUUUGUGGGUUCCUGUGCAUGUUCAUGUGCGACUAGGAAUCUGUUUGUCACAGAUGCUUCCAAGGUCUGGUGGUUGUUUUCUCUAUCCUAAUUAAUCUAUUGACGUAGAAUUAUGCAUCUUUCCCCAUAAGCCGGGAGUGUAUUUAAAAGCUCAUUUCCUUGCCUGAGAUAACAUGCAAAUAAAAGUUAAAGACAAUUGAAACGAUGUCCUGUC
ensembl:lncRNA